rnacentral:rRNA from 1 species
UACGUAGGGGGCAAGCGUUGUCCGGAAUCAUUGGGCGUAAAGAGCGUGUAGGCGGCCCGGUAAGUCCGCUGUGAAAGUCCAGGGCUCAACCCUGGGAUGCCGGUGGAUACUGUCGGGCUCGAGUCCGGAAGAGGAGUGUGGAAUUCCUGGUGUAGCGGUGAAAUGCGCAGAUAUCAGGAGGAACACCAAUGGCGAAGGCAGCACUCUGGGACGUGACUGACGCUGAGACGCGAAAGCGUGGGGAGGCGAUCC